UACGAAGGGGGCUAGCGUUGUUCGGAAUCACUGGGCGUAAAGCGCACGUAGGCGGCUUUCUAAGUCAGGGGUGAAAUCCUGGAGCUCAACUCCAGAACUGCCUUUGAUACUGGAAAGCUCGAGUCCGGGAGAGGUGAGUGGAACUGCGAGUGUAGAGGUGAAAUUCGUAGAUAUUCGCAAGAACACCAGUGGCGAAGGCGGCUCACUGGCCCGAUACUGACGCUGAGGUGCGAAAGCGUGGGGAGCAAACAGG
rnacentral:rRNA from 1 species